rnacentral:tRNA from 1 species
GCGAGAGUGCUGGAACUGGCAGACAGGCAGGCUUGAGGUGCCUGUGUCUCAUUACAGGCGUGUGGGUUCAAGUCCCAUCUCUCGCACCA